AGAGGGCUGCCUGAUAGGAUUCACCACCUUCAGCCGGGAGACGCAGCCAGUCCGCAGCAACCAUGCAAAGAGGAACUGGGAAUGCUCUCCUCCCUCGCUACUGGCCCCUGCUCCCGCUCCCCAUUGGCCAAACCUGGCCGGAAGUAGGAGGCCCAGGAUCCUGUUGGUAGAGUCCUUGGACUGGCCUCCCUGGGACAGAACCAGUGGGGAAUGGACUGCAGAUACAGCACAUACCUGCCCUGGAAGGGAGAUCUGGCCAUCUGCAGUUUGCUAAAGCCACACCAGGUAAUAGGAAAAGAGCCUCUUUAUGAUGGGCUGUGUUGCUGAACUUUUCCCUUUGAACUCAAGCUGCUUUGGGCUUCCAAGCCCCCCAGCCUUGUCAAAUCUGGGAGACCCCUAGGCUCCACAUGCACUGUCUCUACAUGCGGCCUGGAAACUCUCGCGGGCGGAUCAUGAGGUCAGGAGAUCAAGACCAUCCUGGCUAGCAUGGUGAAAUCCUGUCUCUACUAAAAAAUACAAAAAAUUAGCCUGGCAUGGUGGCAGGCAACUGUGGUCCCAGCUACUUGGGAAGCUAGGUAUAACUCUAACAAACUAUGUACAAGAUCUAUAUGAGC
rnacentral:lncRNA from 1 species